ACAAAAAUUAUCUUUUAUUUUUUAUCUCUGAAUUUUUGUCUGUAGUCUGGAUUACACCAUGCAGUACGUAACAAGUUCCUAUACAUUUAAAAAAAAUAACUCAUUGAAGUUCUACUCGAAGCUAGUUGUUUAUAUUGUUUUAAAAAUAUUUGAAUUCCAUCCUCAUCAACUACUAUGUCGUGCCUACGAGGCCGGACCGCUGGACUGGAAGGAAGUCCGUUGGGUACUUGGGUUGGUCACCACCGUCAUACUACGCCGGACGCACCUGGACGAGGCUGUCCCCUUGAGUCCCAUUUUCGUUUUAAGGGUAAUCGUGUCGAUCCAGGGCAAUUUUUUUUUUUUUUUUUUGUCGAGACAGAACAUCUAGGUGGCUGCGCGAACGGCGGUUGUAUAUUUUAAACAGGAGGGUACGAUGAAUGGCGGGCAGCGCCGCAGUGUGCAGGCUGCCCGGACUGCCCUGGAUUGGUUGGAGCCUCGCUUCUAUAAAUUGGAGCGUUGCGUUGGAUUAACGCAGUUUGCUGCUCUGGCUCAUUAAGGUUUGUGAGCGGUUGACUAAAGUAAUCGUGUGUCUUCUCAUCAAACUUGCUGAAAUGUGUUCUUUCAUCAAGCCCGUUCAGUGAUGCUGACGAUCAAGUUUGCUUUAGACAGCUGUUAGUAAGAUGGUGGCUUUGGAUCAAAUAAUGGUUGCCCUCACAGGCGCGCCAGGUUGAUACUCGGAUGUACCCCGUCCCCGUGUCACGGUAAAAUAUUCGAAUUAUUAUUUAAGUAUUCAUGCUUUAAUUUUCAGUUAUAAUAUAUUUGUAAAAUUUUUUUUUAAGUAUGAAAUGUAAAUAAAAGAUAUUGGAUUUCUGGACUAGUUGUUACAUGAGCUUUCUGAUUGACCUUGUUGGUCGAUGGAAAAUUUUCAUGAAA